UGAGUAGUAGCUUAAUCGGUAAAGCUACCCGCUGUUAACGGGAGGAGUGCAGGUUCGAGUCCUGCCUACUCAG
rnacentral:tRNA from 1 species